CGUCGGUAUAAAGGCGGCCGCCGAGUCCGCUACCGUCAGUCCAGCACUCGCAGCCCAUCCGCCGCAGUAGCAACCAACCACACACCCGCAAACAUGCGCCACCUGAUCGCCCUCCUGGUCCUGGCUACGGUGCUGCUGGCGGCCGAGGCCGGCUACCUGUACGGCGGCUAUGGUGGCUAUGGUGGCUAUGGCGGCUACGGUGGAUACGGCCGCUACUACGGCUACCGGCCCACCGUGGUGGUGAGGUCGUACGGCUACCGGCCCUACUACGGAGGCUACGGCGGCUACCGCGGCUACCACAGCUACUGGUAGACGGCGCCCUCUACACUGCGCUACACCAAACUACAGUAGCGUCGUACAGCUGCAGCCAUCCCUAUUCCAGCCUGCAGCUGCUUCGGCCCGUGGUCUCACAACACCCCCAAUAAUAUCCAUUCACUGUAUAUAUAUGUAACUCAUAAACAUUUUCUCAUGUGUAUCCUGUAUCUUUCAUCAAUAAACAUCUAUCUUAUAUAA